rnacentral:rRNA from 1 species
UACAGAGGUCUCGAGCGUUGGGCGGAAUCACUGGGCUUAAAGCGUGUGUAGGUUGAUGCCUAAGUACCUUGUGAAAUCCCUCGGCUUAACCGGGGAACUGCGUCCGAUACUGGUUGGCUUGAGUUUGGGAGAGGGAUGCGGAAUUCCAGGUGUAGCGGUGAAAUGCGUAGAUAUCUGGAGGAACACCGGUGGCGAAGGCGGCAUCCUGGACCAAUACUGACGCUGAGGAGCGAAAGCCAGGGGAGCAAACGGG